rnacentral:rRNA from 1 species
UGCUUAACACAUGCAAGUCGAGCGGUAAGGCCCUUCGGGGUACACGAGCGGCGAACGGGUGAGUAACACGUGGGUGAUCUGCCCUGUACUUCGGGAUAAGCCUGGGAAACUGGGUCUAAUACCGAUAUGACCUUACAUCGCAUGGUGUUUGGUGGAAAGAUUUAUCGGUACAGGAUGGGCCCGCGGCCUAUCAGCUUGUUGGUGGGGUAAUGGCCUACCAAGGCGACGACGGGUAGCCGGCCUGAGAGGGCGACCGGCCACACUGGGACUGAG